AACGAACGCUGGCGGCAUGCCUAACACAUGCAAGUCGAACGAGACCUUCGGGUCUAGUGGCGCACGGGUGCGUAACGCGUGGGAACCUGCCCUUAGGUUCGGAAUAACUCUCCGAAAGGGGUGCUAAUACCGGAUAAUGUCUUCGGACCAAAGAUUUAUCGCCUUUGGAUGGGCCCGCGUUGGAUUAGCUAGUUGGUAGGGUAAAAGCCUACCAAGGCGACGAUCCAUAGCUGGUCUGGGAGGAAGAUCAGCCACACUGGGACUGAGACGCGGCCCAGACUCCUACGGGAGGCAGCAGUGGGGAAUAGUGGACAAUGGGCGAAAGGCUGAUGCAGCAAUGCCGCGUGAGUGAUGAAGGCCUUAGGGUUGUAAAGCUCUUUUACCCGGGAUGAUAAUGACAGUACCGGGAGAAUAAGCGCCGGCUAACUCCGUG
rnacentral:rRNA from 1 species